AUUGAAACACCAAUUCCCAUACAAUCACAGAAGUUAAGCAAUAUCAAAGCUGGUCAGUACCUUGAUGGGUGACCUCUUGAGAAUACCAGGUGCUGUAAG